GAUGAACGCUGGCGGCGUGCCUAAUACAUGCAAGUCGAGCGAACGGACGAGAAGCUUGCUUCUCUGAUGUUAGCGGCGGACGGGUGAGUAACACGUGGAUAACCUACCUAUAAGACUGGGAUAACUUCGGGAAACCGGAGCUAAUACCGGAUAAUAUUUUGAACCACAUGGUUCAAAAGUGAAAGACGGUCUUGCUGUCACUUAUAGAUGGAUCCGCGCUGCAUUAGCUAGUUGGUAAGGUAACGGCUUACCAAGGCAACGAUGCAUAGCCGACCUGAGAGGGUGAUCGGCCACACUGGAACUGAGACACGGUCCAGACUCCUACGGGAGGCAGCAGUAGGGAAUCUUCCGCAAUGGGCGAAAGCCUGACGGAGCAACGCCGCGUGAGUGAUGAGGGUCUUCGGAUCGUAAAACUCUGUUAUUAGGGAAGAACAUAUGUGUAAGUAACUGUGCACAUCUUGACGGUACCUAAUCAGAAAGCCACGGCUAACUACGUG
rnacentral:rRNA from 1 species